UUGGCUCUGUGUCUCCACCCAAAUCUCCUCUUGAAUUGUAAUCCCAAAGAUAAUCCCCAGGUGUUGGAAAGUGGUUGAAUCACAGAAGCGGUUUCCCGCAUGCCGUUCUCGUGAUAGUGAGCGAAUUCUCGCGAGAUCUGAUGGUUUUAUAAAUGGCAGUUUCCUCGGCUCUCUCUUGCCUGCUGCUGCGUAAGAGGAGUUCGCUUCUUCCUCGCUUUCCGCUGUGAUUUUAAGUUUCCUGAGGCCUCCUGCCCAUGCUUCCUGUUAAAUCUGUGGAACCGCAGUGGACAUCUGAAACUCUAAAACAUCUCCUCAUCUGUGGAGAAAAGCAAUGAGCCAGGUCAGGAGAGUGAGAAACUCGCACCACUUCGAAAGCAUCAGCCUGGACGCUGAAGUUUGGGUUGUUCUUGUAGCUCUGGAUCACACAGGACUUCACCCCUCGUCCUCCACACUCGAUGAGAACCUGGGGCCGAUCCACCGAGAGGAGCUGCACCUUCUUCAUUUCCCGAACUCCCCAGAAGAGAACCUAAGGAAAUGACCAGCAGAGCUGUCACCACAGACCCACAGAGGAGCCCCACCCCUGCCCUGACUUUGGGUGACAAGUCAGACCUGUUCCCUAAGAACCACGUUAUGUUCCUCCAGGAAAGAGCUGCACAGCUCCUUGAGGGCUCAUUCAUUUUCUCUAGGUCUCCUGCCCGUUCCAUUCCACCUCUUCUGCAAUUCAGGCAAGGCCCCUGCCCUUGAGAGAACAACUCAGCUCCUCCCCUGACCCGUACCUCCACUCGGUAUUUGCUCAGCACUGGCCGAAUGUUGGCAGGAACCGGGUAGAUCUGGGUGAUAUCUGGUGGCUCAAUGGGUGGGAGCCCCUGCAGCCCAGAUGGUGGGACCUACCACACAAGGCAAGGGUGAGUUAGACGCCGGAGAGACACAAGGCAGGCAACAGCGCCACACAACCACCUCCUCAGUAACACCUUCACUGUUUUGUUAGCAAAAGCAAUGUUUUCAGCUUAAAAUACAAGGGCCAUGCAUUUUACCAUUUCAUUUGUUCAUUGAUAAACACAUUCAUUUACAAGGGUAACCAACGUUUAGCGAGCACUUAAGGUGUGCCGCAAGGCUAAUAACACAGAGCUUUCAGUAAGCUCACAGUAUAGAGGGAAAGAACAAAUAUGGACGAUGGAGCUUCUCAACUUCAUAAAACUACACAAGAACCACAGCAGGGUAGUGGAGAAGGAGCUUUCAUCAGAUUCCAAACAUUUGAGUCUUAAAGAUCCCCACCCGCUUCGGAUGUGUCAAGAUCUCCAGAAAAGCCAUUAUCCACUACUACAAAAAAAUAAAAAGGAUUUAUGUUUGACCCAACAGAGACCACAUCUUAAUCAGUGAAGCAGAAAAUAAAAUGUUUUGAAGGCAGAACUCUAAGAUGAAAACAUGUCACUUCUUGUGCUCUUGGAGUUAAUGAAACUUCAGGUCAAUUUCAGCUUUGCUGAAAUUUCACACGAAGGACUUACAGCGUGCUAUUGAGAAAAGGGUAUUUUUCACUGUGUAGGCCAUCUCACACUGCCCUCAAAACCUGGUUCAACACAUACAUCUUUCAAGAAUCUUUCCCCAAAGAAAAAGAAAAGUGAAAGAAGCUUUCCUGACCUGAUCCCAGCUGCUUCUGCCAUAAAUGCCUUUUGAAUGCAAUAUGUCCUCUUAUACAGAUUUUGUGCAGAAAUUAGGGGACUGAUUCCAGAAAUCAGGCUCUGCUGUGUGACCCUGCACAAGUAACUUGCCCUCUCUGAACCUCAGAUAUUGAGCCAGAUGACCCAUCAAGCUCCUUGGGAAUCAGAUGUUCUAUUAAACAUUGCUUUAGAGCAGGUAGUUCUCUUUACUGGGGCUGUUUGUCUGCCUGAACAAUUUACAGGGCCAAAAGGAAGUCUUUAUUCCUUUCAUUCUCCAAGCCCCUCUAUAUGCAGUGAAUUCUUGAUAAAUGUUUAUUGGUUGACUGACAUAUUAGGCCACAUGCUCCGUAUGCUAGAAAAAGCCUAAUUGUGUAUCAAAAUCUGCAAAGUGCAAAUAUAUUUUCUUUUUUCACAGACAUAUUCUAGUUGGCAACAGCAGAUGUGGUUAAGCUAAUUAUAAGAAUGCUCAAAAAAAGGAGAACAGGCACUGCAAGUGCAAAAUAGACUCAAGGUAAUGAAGCUGCAGGAUGCACCUACCCAGAUCAAGAACCUGGUAAAUGAUGAGGAUGGCAAUGCCCAUUAUUUCCUGGCAGUGAAGAGGUGAGCAAUUUAGCCUGCAAGCAUCACCUCACAGGGAAAGUUAAUAGCCCCUCUGGCUUCAAAUGGAAAAUUACAAAACAGCUGUGAUGGUGGCACAGGAGGGGCUGCCUCUGGAUGUGCUUUUUAAAAAGCAUCAUAUGUUUUAUCCUGGGGCUGCUGAAGUGUCAGCCUGGGAAAUGCCAAAGAAGUUUUGCUCCGUAAGUGCCUGAAAAAUGCUGUGAAGAGCUCAACACAGCCCGGAAAGAAUCCUGUAACAUGGUGGCAAUUGAAUGACUUUUCCGCCAGCCAAGAUUAAGCUUUUUCCAGUGAAAUGUGUUGGUUGCUGGCCUAUAAAACAUAUGAUAUGCAGUUACUCAGCACAUAGGGCCAGGGAAAAAUAAGCGAUUGCUAUGAGGGUGAAAUAGUAAGAAUUGGGGGUGAGCAGGAUGGGUAGUUAUCCACAGGGAUAUUAGAGAAGUCUCAAAGCCAGACUGCUCUAAUAUCCCCCUGGAAGUAAAAUAUCAGGACCUCAAAGUAGGUCCAGCUUCAGGGCCAGGACAAGGGUGAACAAGAGUGGCACAUAUGGUACAAAAGUUAAGGAGGCAGUCACUCUUGGGGUCUUGCAUGACCCUGGUCACAGCCCUGCCCAUCUGAAAAAUCACGGAUGCUCAGAAGCCUUUCUCCUUUCUCUCUCCCUCAGCCCAUAAUUUAUACUUCUGCUGUGUCUCACCUUCAGUACAGUGGUUACUUGGGCUCCACCACUACUAGCUGCAUGAACUUGGAAAAGUACACUCAAUAUCUCAGAGUCUCAAUUCCGUCAUUUGUAAAAUGAAGACAAUAUCUAACUCAUAAAGUUGUGAAGAGUUGCUGAGACAGCUUGUAAAGCACUUGACACACUUUCUGGCACAUGGAGAGUUCCCUAGGAAUAAGAGAGAACUGGAAAUUUAUAGACCCUUGCAAAGAUUAAAGCUCAGCUUCAAGUCAUCUUAAUCCUUAACUGGAUCUAGAUGACCUGGGAGUGCUAGCUGUCCCACACUACCUCAGAAGUAAAUUCAAAUCCUCUGAAGGAAAAUAGCAGCCUAGGCUCAAAUUUUUCUACAUAUUUUUAUGUAGAAGUGUCUAGCAUGCAGUAAAAUAUGGCAGGCACAGAGAUAAGACAAUGUGAUUAACAAGAGAUAUGAACCGAAGAAACAGACUCUUAAAGGAUUCAGAUAAUGUGGUAAUAAGAUAUGAGCUUCAAAGUAACAAUGCUUAAUCUGUUAAAUAGGAAACCAGAUAAAAAUUCCAAUAGAUAAAUGAAAUCUAAAAUAAAGAAGAAGAAAUGGAAAUUCUACGACUGAAGAUAUAGUCACUGGAAAGAAGAACUUAGUGAAUAGGUUUUUAAAAAGAGACAGGGAAAAUGAGCGGGAAGAUAGGCCAUAUGAUGGAUAAAAUAAAGCUCAGAGGGACAAAAUGAUAGACAAUGCAUAAAAGAACAUGAGAGGCACAGUAUAUCUAAUUAAAAGAUCUAACACACGUUUAAUUGGAGUCACAGAGGAGCAGCAAAGAGGAGAGGCAAAAAGAGGUGAGGCAAGGAGAGGAGAGAGAGGAGAGGAGAGAAAAGAGGAGGAACAGGAUUGAACAGAAGCAAUCUUUGAAUAGAUGAAGGCUGACAAAUUUCCAAACCUAAUUUAAAACAUCAAGCCCUGCUUUUAAAAGUUCUAUAAAACCCAACAAGAUAAAAACAAAGAAAACUGCACUUUACUACAACAUAGUAAAACUGCCAAAAACCAAAAAUAAAGAAAAAGACCUUAAAAUCAAUCAGAUAAGGGAAAAAAUAAAGAGCACUUUUUAAGGAGCAACAAUAAGAAUGAUAACCAACCUCUCAAAAAAGAAAGCACAGCCCAAACAAUGGAAUAAUACCUUCAGCUUGUGGAAAUAAAAUUGUUUCCAACCCAGGCAAACAAAACAAAAAAACCUAAGAGGAAAUUUAAUGGCCCCAACAUCAAAAAGUGAGAUUAUGGCAAAGCCAGAAACGUACCUGAAUACCUUCACUUAGAUGAAGUUGCAGCAGUCAGUGCAACCCAGGGAGGAAGGUGGACAGAAGCCAAAUAUGCUGACUUGCUGGCCAGCAGAAGAGUAAGUGUGAGCUCUGGGAUAAAGCUGGUGAUUGGAGGAGAUGGUCUUCAGGGCUUGAGCAGGGCCUUUACUGGAAGUUUGCUGCUGUUGUUGUUGGAGACAGAGUCUUACUCUGUCACCCACACUGUUGUGCAGUGGCAUGAUCCCCACUCACUGCAACCUCUGCCUCCUGGGUUCAAGCGAUUCUCCUGCCUCAGCCUCCCUAGUAGCUGUGAUUACAGGCAUGUACCACCACACCCAGUUAAUUUUGUAUUUUUAGUAAAGAUAGGGUUUCACUAUGUUAGCCAGGCUGGUCUUGAACUCCUAACCUCAGGUAAUGCACCUGCCUUGGCCUCCCAAACUGCUGGAAUUAUAGGCAUGAGUUACCAUGCCCAACCUGGAAGUUCUUAAUCAUAUGUAAGGAUCAGCCAGCUUUCCCUCACUGACCCCUAACUACGCCUGUUUUAGGGUGGAUGCCUUCUGCGAAGUCUUCACUAGUAGGUCAGUAAACUGUUAAUAACACUUUACCUUUAAAACACGGAGAAAGAUCACACAGAGAUACUGUCUGAAGCUAAUCAAAUCAUCUAACUCAGACUCCAAUGAGAAGACUUAAUGAGUGCCAAGCAUCAGAGAAGAAUAUCUCAUUUCUUUUUUUUUUUUUGAGACGGAGUUUAGCUCUUGUUACCCAGGCUGAAGUGCAAUGGCGCGAUCUCGGCUCACUGCAACCUCUGCCUCCUGAGUUCAGGUAAUUCUCCUGUCUCAGCCUCCCGAGUAGCUGGGAUUACAGGCACGCACCACCAUGCCCUGAUAAUUUCUUAUAUUUUUAGUAGAGACGGUUUCACCAUGUUGACCAGGAGGGUCUCGAUCUCUUGACCUCAUGAUCCACCCGUCUCGGCCUCCCAAAGUGCUGGGAUUACAGGCGUGAGCCACCAUGCCCGGACAGAAUAUCUCAUUUCUUAAGCCAACAGAACUUAGGUUAAAUCUAUGCCAUAUAGACAAAGAUGAUUAAAAAUAAAUGAAAAAAUUAGAGAACACUCACAUGAUGAUAAGAGAAAGAUUCCUAGAAAGUUGAAUGAAAGGGAAGAAUGGAUUCUAAGCAGGCAGUUAACACAUAAAUCCAUGAAGGCUGCACACUGAACAAUCAAAAGGGGUGCCAUCACAUAGACCAAAUAGCAGCGGCCCCUUCUAGGGAUGUGUCAUGCGCUACCCCUGUAGGAAGCCUAAGGAGAUAUUUCAAGGAAUUGGGAAGUGUUUGGGGUAAAAUAAUGGCUCCCCAAAGAUGUUCAUAUCCUGAUCCUCAGAACCUGUAAGUAUGUUACCUUACAUGGCAAAAAGAGAUGUGGCAGGUGUGAUUAAAUUAAGGACCUUGGGAUGAGGAGUUUAUACUGGGUUUUCAGGGUGGGCCCUACGUAAUCUUGAGGGUCCUCAUGAGACGGCAGCAGGAGAGUCAGAGCAGGAGGAGAUGUGAUAAUGGAAGUAGGUAGGAGGUUGAGGAGAGAAAGAAACCGAGAGAGACUGAGACUUGAAGAAGCUGUGUGGCUGGCUUAAAGGUAAAGGGAGGGCCGCCAGCCAAGGGAUGCAGGCCAUCCCCAGAAACCAGAAAAGACAGGGAAACAGAUUCCCCUAGAGCCUCUGGAAGGAAUGCAGCCUUGCUCAUGCCCGGAUGAGGGACCCUUUCAAACAUCUGACCUGCAGAACUGUAAGAUGGUAAACUGCGUUGUCUGAAGCCACCAUGUCUGUGAUUCGUUAGAACAGCAAUAGUAAACUAACAC